GGCUCGCCGGGCUCAAUUCAGUGGGGAGCAUGUUUAAAAAGACAAGGGGGAAACCAGCCAUACGUCGGGCGACCGCGAUCUUCAACGGGGUGGGGAGCGGGAGGCGGAGAGGGGCGCAUGAUGGGAGUUCGGGAGUCUGCGGGGUGCCAGUCAGCGUGGUGGAGGCUGGCGAGGGCACGGCCUGCAUGGGCGUCACCCGCAGAACUUUGGCGGGGGGAUUGCGUGAGCACGGGAUGGACAUUGAGAGGGCCAGCGUUGGCACGGCACUGGCCGCGGAGGCAUGCACGAAGGAUGUGCGUGUC
rnacentral:lncRNA from 1 species